CCCUUAGAUGUCCUGGGCCGCACGCGCGUUACACUGAUGCAUUCGACGAGCUUAUAACCUUGGCCGAGAGGCCUGGGCAAUCUUGUUAACGUGCAUCGUGAUAGGGAUAGAUUAUUGAAAUUAUUAAUCUUGAACGAGGAAUUCCUAGUAAACGCAGAUCAUCAAUCUGCAUUGAUUACGUCCCUGCCCUUUGUACACACCGCCCGUCGCACCUACCGAUUGGAUGGUCCGGUGAAGCCUCGGGAUUGUGGUUCUUGCCGCUUUAUUGUGGCGUGACCGCGAGAACUUGUCUAAACCUUAUCAUCUAGAGGAAGGUGAAGUCGUAACA
rnacentral:rRNA from 1 species